rnacentral:lncRNA from 1 species
AGAAAUCAAUUAAGGGCGUGUUUGUUUGGGUGGAAGAGAGAGGGGGAAGUUGUUUUCGCUAUAAAUGAUCACUUUCGUUGUUUGGUUCAUCAUAAAAAAGUUACGGUCGAAAAUUGAGUUAACUUGAAACGGCGUAAUUGACUUCGGCGUAAUUACAGUGAAGGGAGGUGAAAAAAAAUAAUAAAAUAAUAUACUAGGUAAAGAUAGCUAUAUUUAAAUAUAUUUAAUUAUGGUACUAAUUACUGUUUUAUUCAGUUGGCAUAUUUAAAAUAUGGAAAAAAAAAUUGAUUAGUUAAGUUUUAAUAUUUCUUUAUUUAGUUUGUAAUUUAAAAUAUGAUAAAAAUCGAUUAAUUAAAUAUUAAUAUUUUUUUCACUUUAUAAUUUUAUUGUUGUAUUACUAUAAUUUAUGCAUAAAAAAAUAAUUUAGUUGUUUUAAGUUAAAUUUUAAAUAUAUAAAAAUAUAAGGCCAAUUUACAUAAAAAAUCCACAAGUUUUGAGCUUUUGUAAAAUUAGACCGUCUUUUCCGAUUUGGCAGAUUUGGACUGAAUUUUCAACAAACUAACUAAAAUAUCUUUAUUCCUUUCUCCGUCUAUGUUUUUUUCCUUCGUUCUUUUUUUUCUCUCCAACUCUCAUCGCCUCCUCCACCGCCUCUGCAGCCCUCGGUGACGAUAACGAGGUCGUUAUCGUCGCCACAUCCUCUUUCUCCAUCUCCUCCUAUACCGGCGCCGGCGGCCCUCGGCGACGGUAACGAAGGCCGAGGGCAGCGCUGCCUCCUCCACCUUCGCUUCCAGC